rnacentral:rRNA from 1 species
CCCUUAGAUGUCCUGGGCUGCACGCGCGCUACACUGGAAGUUACGGAUUGAGAUACUACCUUGUCCGAAAUGGUCCGGGUAAUCACCUAAAAGCUUGUCAUAAUUGGAAUGGAUUAUUGUAACUAGUAAUCCUGAACGAGGAAUUCCUAGUAAGUCCCAGUCAUCAGCUGGUACUGAUUACGUCCCUGCCCUUUGUACACACCGCCCGUCGCUACUACUGAUUGGACGUUUAAGCAAGAUUUUUAAACACUGACAGUGUGUAGUUCACGCUAUACUACAGUGAGAAGAAGAAGAUCGAGCUUACUUGUCUAGAGGAAGUAAAAGUCGUAACA